GACGAACGCUGGCGGCGUGCUUAACACAUGCAAGUCGAACGGAAAGGCCCUGCUUGCAGGGUUCUCGAGUUGCCAACGGGCGAGUAACACGCAGGUGAUCUGCCCUCCACUUCGGCUUAGGCCUGGUAAACUGGGUGUAACUACUGCCAGGAACUAUUUUUAACGGGAUGGUUGAAAAGUUUUUGCGGUGUUGGAUGAGCUUGCUGCGUAUCAGCUUGUUGGUGGGGUAAUGGCCUACCAAGGCGGCGUCGGGUAGCAGGCCUGAGUGGGUGAACGGCGACAUUGGGACUGAGAUGCGGCCGAGACUGCGACGGGAGGCAGCAGUGGGGAAGCUUGCACAAUGGGCGCAAGCCUGAUGCAGCGACGCCUCGGGGGGGAUGACGGCGUUCGGGUUGUAGACUCAUUGCGCUAGGGACGAAGCUUGUUGUGACGGUACCUAGAUAAGAAGCACCGGCUAACUACGUG
rnacentral:rRNA from 1 species